GACGGAGGGGGCUAGCGUUGUUCGGAAUUACUGGGCGUAAAGAGCGCGUAGGCGGCAUAGCAAGUUGGAAGUGAAAGCCCGGGGCUUAACCUCGGAACUGCUUUCAAAACUGCUAAGCUAGAGUAUGGUAGGGGAUGAUGGAAUUCCUAGUGUAGAGGUGAAAUUCUUAUAUAUUAGGAGGAACACCGGUGGCGAAGGCGGUCAUCUGGGCCAUUACUGACGCUGAGGCGCGAAAGCGUGGGGAGCAAACAGG
rnacentral:rRNA from 1 species